ACUUUACAAUGCUGGCAACAGCGAUAAGGGAACCUCGAGUGCCAGGUUACAAAUCUGGCAGUCGAGAUGCCUAAAAAGCAUUUCAUAGCAAGGGCCGGGCAAGACCGGUGCCAGCCGCCGCGGUAACACCGGCGGCUCGAGUGGUAACCGUUAUUAUUGGGUCUAAAGGGUCUGUAGCCGGCCGGAUAAGUCUCUUGAGAAAUCUGGCAGCUUAACUGUCAGGCUUUCAGGAGAUACUGUCUGGCUCGAGGCCGGGAGAGGUGAGAGGUACUUCAGGGGUAGGGGUGAAAUCUUGUAAUCCUUGAAGGACCACCAGUGGCGAAGGCGUCUCACCAGAACGGACCUGACGGCAAGGGACGAAAGCUAGGGGCACGAACCGG
rnacentral:rRNA from 1 species